CAACAGCAGAUGACUGUAGAGUUUAGUAGUUCGUGUCAUGCGUUCGUACGGUAUUGUGUUGUAUUUUCUGUGUAAUAUAUAAGUGGUUUGAUGGUGGAGACAGGAAAUCACGGAAAGACACAUAUUGAGUGUGUGGCUUAGGAGGGCAAUCAUGGACUGCAAGGGAACUAGUUGGGUGAAAAAAGAGAAGAAUGAAAUAUAUGCUGAAUCAGAAUCCUUGUUUCUUGAAGGUCCGCUUAAGAUUGUAACGCCUAGUCUUCAUAUAAAGCAAGACCUAGAACUGAAACAGGAGGAUGGCAUUGAGCGUGAUGUAAGUUUUCACAUCGGUGAUGCAUUGUGCAUGAAGUACUGUAUGAAUAUCAUGAAAUGAAAUGCAUUGGGUGCAGUAAAUUUCAGUUAUCAUAAAUGAUGAAACAUUAAAACCUAGGAUAUUAGCACUCCUUCAGAAUCUUUAUAGAAUUUCAAUUGACUGUAGGUAUAUUGUUCGGUUGUGUGUAAUGGUAUUUGAAUGAAACUUGUAGGAAACAUAGUUUAUUAACUGUAACCCAUGGUAAUAUUAUUUUACAUAUAAAAAAUGAA